rnacentral:rRNA from 1 species
UACGGAGGGGGCUAGCGUUGUUCGGAAUUACUGGGCGUAAAGCGCACGUAGGCGGUGUUGCAAGUCAGAGGUGAAAGCCCAGAGCUCAACUCUGGAAUUGCCUUUGAGACUGAGUGGCUUGAGUACGGGAGAGGUGAGUGGAAUUCCCAGUGUAGAGGUGAAAUUCGUAGAUAUCGGGAGGAACACCGGUGGCGAAGGCGGCGAUCUGGGUCGAUACUGACGCUGAGGUGCGAAAGCGUGGGGAGCAAACAGG